rnacentral:rRNA from 1 species
GUGGGGAAUUUUGGACAAUGGGCGAAAGCCUGACGGAGCAAUGCCGCGUGAAGGAUGAAGGCCUAUGGGUUGUAAACUUCUUUUCUCAGAAAAGAAUUAUGACGGUAUCUGAGGAAUAAGCAUCGGCUAACUCUGUGCCAGCAGCCGCGGUAAGACAGAGGAUGCAAGCGUUAUCCGGAAUGAUUGGGCGUAAAGCGUCUGUAGGUUGUUUAAAAAGUAUUCUGUCAAAGAUUAGGGCUUAACCCUAGAUAGGCAGAAUAAACUUUUAAGCUAGAGUUUGGUAGAGGCAGAGGGAAUUCCCGGUGGAGCGGUGAAAUGCGUAGAUAUCGGGAGGAACACCAAAGGCGAAGGCACUCUGCUGGGCCAAUACUAACACUGAGAGACGAAAGCGAGGGGAGCAAAUGGGAUUAGAUACCCGGGUAGUCC